GGUCAAGCGAACAAGUGCAUGUGGUGGAUGCCUUGGCGAUCACAGGCGAUGAAGGACGCGGUAGCCUGCGAAAAGCUACGGGGAGCUGGCAAACGAGCUUUGAUCCGUAGAUGUCCGAAUGGGGAAACCCACUCCGAAUGGAGUAUCCAUGACUGAAUACAUAGGUCAUGCGAAGCGAACGCGGUGAACUGAAACAUCUAAGUAACCGCAGGAAAAGAAAUCAACCGAGAUUCCCAGAGUAGUGGCGAGCGAAAUGGGACCAGCCUGUACUCUUUAUCUUCAUUGUUAGUUGAACGCUCUGGAAAGUGCGGCCAUAGCAGGUGAUAGCCCUGUAGACGAAAACAGCGAGGAAGAACUAGGUGUACGACAAGUAGGGCGGGACACGUGAAAUCCUGUCUGAAGAUGGGGGGACCAUCCUCCAAGGCUAAAUACUCGUGAUCGACCGAUAGUGAACCAGUACCGUGAGGGAAAGGCGAAAAGAACCCCGGGAGGGGAGUGAAAUAGAUCCUGAAACCGCAUGCAUACAAACAGUAGGAGCCUCCUUGUGGGGUGACUGCGUACCUUUUGUAUAAUGGGUCAGCGACUUACAUUCAGUGGCAAGCUUAACUGAUUAAGGCAGGCGUAGCGAAAGCGAGUCCGAAUAGGGCGUUCAGUUGCUGGGCGUAGACCCGAAACCAAGUGAUCUAUCCAUGGCCAGGUUGAAGGUGCGGUAACACGUACUGGAGGACCGAACCCACUAACGUUGAAAAGUUAGGGGAUGAGCUGUGGAUAGGGGUGAAAGACUAAACAAACCUGGGGGAAAUAGCUGGUUCUCUCCCGAAAAACUAUUUAGGUAGUGCCUCGUGUCUCACCUUCGGGGGUAGAGCACUGUCAUGGUUGGGGGGUCUAUUGCGGAUUACUUCGCCAUAGCAAACUCCGAAUACCGAAGAGUGCAAUCACGGGAGACAGACAUCGGGUGCUAACGUCCGGUGUCAAGAGGGAAACAACCCAGACCGCCAGCUAAGGUCCCCAAAUAUUGCUAAGUGGGAAACGAAGUGGGAAGGCUAAAACAGUCAGGAGGUUGGCUUAGAAGCAGCCCCCCUUUAAAGAAAGCGUAAUAGCUCACUGAUCGAGUCGUCCUGCGCGGAAGAUGUAACGGGGCUAAGCAAUAUACCGAAGCUGCGGAUGCACAUUUAUGUGCAUGGUGGGAGAGCGUUCCGUAAGCCUGCGAAGGUGCAUUGAAAAGUGCGCUGGAGGUAUCGGAAGUGCGAAUGCUGACAUGAGUAGCGAUAAAGGGGGUGAAAAGUCCCCUCGCCGUAAGCCAAAAGGUUUCCUGCGCAACGUUCAUCGGCGCAGGGUGAGUCGGCCCCUAAGGCGAGGCAGAAAUGCGUAGCUGAUGGGAAACAGGUCAAUAUUCCUGUACCAGUGUGAAAUGCGAUGGGGGGACGGAUCGCGGAAGGUUGUCCGGGUGUUGGAAGUCCCGGUCCUUGCAUUGGAGAAGGCGCUUAGGCAAAUCCGGGCGCGGAAUUCAAGGGUGUGAGGCCAUUCACCUAGGUGAAGAAGCAACUGGAAGUGGUUCCAAGAAAAAGCCUCUAAGCUUCAGUUUAACAAGACCGUACCGCAAACCGACACAGGUGGGCGAGAUGAGUAUUCUAAGGCGCUUGAGAGAACUCGGGAGAAGGAACUCGGCAAAUUGGUACCGUAACUUCGGGAUAAGGUACGCCCCUGUAGCUUGACUGGCCUGCGCCAGGAGGGUGAAGGGGUUGCAAUAAACUGGUGGCUGCGACUGUUUAAUAAAAACACAGCACUCUGCAAACACGAAAGUGGACGUAUAGGGGUGUGACGCCUGCCCGGUGCCGGAAGAUUAAAUGAUGAUCUGCAGCUCUUGAUUGAAGUCCCGGUAAAACGGCGGCCGUAACUAUAACGGUCCUAAGGUAGCGAAAUUCCUUGUCGGGUAAGUUCCGGCCUGCACGAAUGGCGUAACGAUGGCCACCGUGUCUCCUCCCGAGACUCAGCGAAGUUGAAGUGUUUGUGAUGAUGCAAUCUCCCCGCGGCUAGACUGGAAAGACCCCACCGAACCUUCACUGUAAGCCCAGCAUUGGACUUUGAACCGAUCUGUGUAGGAUAGGUGGGAGGCUAUGAAGCGUGGACGCCAGUCUGCGUGGAGCCGUCCUUGAAAUACCACCGUUUUGGUUUGUUUGAGGUUCUAACCUUGGUCCGUAAUCCGGAUCGGGGACAGUGCAUGGUAGGCAGUUUGACUGGGGCGGUCUCCUCCCAAAGUGUAACGGAGGAGUACGAAGGUACGCUAGGUGGGGUUUGAAAUCGUGCUGAUAGUGCAAUGGCAUAAGCGUGCUUAACUGCGAGACCGACAAGUCGAGCAGGGUGCGAAAGCAGGUCAUAGUGA
rnacentral:rRNA from 1 species